UACGCGAUAACCUCGACCUUAAUGGCGCCGACGACCGUGGUUUGAACGGGAGGUUACCUAGGAGCAAUUCCCUAAAUCUAACAUGAGUAAGGUUAAUGGUCUGUGAUUACGCGGGCCAUAACAAUAAAUAACAGUGAUGGAGGGGCACAGUCCUAACCCAUUAAACGCGCGGACGACGGAAGGAACCUACACCAUCGGCAAAGAGUCCGAGGGAGAGGCCUUAGCUUGGGAUUAAGAGGCAGUGGGCAGUGGUGGUACCAUCCGGGGAUAGGAUGGUAGCUUUCAACUAUCCCGUCUUUAAACUUACUACGCAGCGGCCGUGCUUCCGGCACGCUAGGCAGCUCAAUAGUACUUAGUAGCCUAGUCGCUCGUCUCGGGCGCAGUCGGAAAAUAGAUUAUUUACGCGGGGAGGGUCUUCAGCCCCAAACAACGUGCAUAACCGAGAUCUUAAUGAUGCCAAUAGGCUCAUCGUGCAUGGUAGUUUGUUUGAUAUUGACUAAAUUACUCGGUAAGCGUCAAAGUGUCAAGUUUAACCAAGUAUGAACGUGUACGUACCGAAUUAGAAACUCUGUUCGUAUACUGAUGACCGUCCUAGUUGGUCCAUCGUGCAGGAACCACUGAUGGUCGUGCCGGUAGCAAGACGCGAAGGUGAAAGCACCUUUGAGUCUCCGUUGUCGGCCCGGCCAACAGCGAGAACUCGCCGUGUCGAGUAGCAGGAACUCCUAGCCGCGUCUCUCAACGCAUAGGAUGGUGCAUUGACACCUCUCCAUCUCCGUUCAGGACAAGGCC
rnacentral:rRNA from 1 species